CGAUGUCCGCUGUACUGAUUGAAACUAUAAAAAUUAACCAGAAUCCGAGUGAAUUUUACAGUUUACUUUUUUCCGUUACAUAAUUUUUUUAAAUUAAA